AUGAACGCUGGCGGCGUGCCUAAUCCAUGCAAGUCGAGCGAACAGACGAGGAGCUUGCUCCUCUGACGUUAGCGGCGGACGGGUGAGUAACACGUGGAUAACCUACCUAUAAGACUGGGAUAACUUCGGGAAACCGGAGCUAAUACCGGAUAAUAUAUUGAACCGCAUGGUUCAAUAGUGAAAGACGGUUUUGCUGUCACUUAUAGAUGGAUCCGCGCCGCAUUAGCUAGUUGGUAAGGUAACGGCUUACCAAGGCAACGAUGCGUAGCCGACCUGAGAGGGUGAUCGGCCACACUGGAACUGAGACACGGUCCAGACUCCUACGGGAGGCAGCAGUAGGGAAUCUUCCGCAAUGGGCGAAAGCCUGACGGAGCAACGCCGCGUGAGUGAUGAAGGUCUUCGGAUCGUAAAACUCUGUUAUUAGGGAAGAACAAAUGUGUAAGUAACUAUGCACGUCUUGACGGUACCUGAUCAGAAAGCCACGGCUAACUACGUG
rnacentral:rRNA from 1 species